rnacentral:rRNA from 1 species
GAUGAACGCUGGCGGCGUGCCUAAUACAUGCAAGUCGAGCGAACAGACGAGGAGCUUGCUCCUCUGACGUUAGCGGCGGACGGGUGAGUAACACGUGGAUAACCUACCUAUAAGACUGGGAUAACUUCGGGAAACCGGAGCUAAUACCGGAUAAUAUAUUGAACCGCAUGGUUCAAUAGUGAAAGACGGUUUUGCUGUCACUUAUAGAUGGAUCCGCGCCGCAUUAGCUAGUUGGUAAGGUAACGGCUUACCAAGGCAACGAUGCGUAGCCGACCUGAGAGGGGGAUCGGCCACACUGAAACUGAGACACGGUCCAGACUCCUACGGGAGGCAGCAGUAGGGAAUCUUCCGCAAGGGGCGAAAGCCUGACGGAGCAACGCCGGGGGGGUGAUGAAGGUCUUCGGAUCGUAAAACUCUGUUAUUAGGGAAGAACAAAUGUGUAAGUAACUAUGCACGUUUUGACGGUACCUAAGCAGAAAGCCACGGCUAACUACGU